rnacentral:misc_RNA from 1 species
UAGAGAAGAAAUCAACAACUUUUUCAGGCAAGCAGACAGGGAAUUGAUGCUGGAAAUGUUUCAAGAGGUGCUGACAGUUUGGAAACCUGUGUAAUUUACCUUGUGAAGUCAGCUUUGUGGAAAUGCUUACUAUUGGUUGUGUAUAAUGUAAUUUUUUUUCUCUGUUCCUGGUCAGGUAUUCCCAGGCUUUACAUUAUGUCACUAAGCAGUGGUAUUCAGGGUGUGAAGGAUCAUUU